AUUGAACGCUGGCGGCAGGCCUAACACAUGCAAGUCGAGCGGAGCGGCGGACGGGUGAGUAAUGCCUAGGAAUCUGCACGGUAGUGGGGGAUAAUGUCCGGAAAUGGGCGCUAAUAUCACUUACUAUUAGAUGCGCCUAGGUCGGAUUGGCUAGUUGGUGGGGUAAAGGCAUACCAAGGCGCCGAUCCGUAACUGGUCUGAGGGGAUGAUCAGUCACACUGGAACUGAGACACGGUCCAGACUCCUACGGGAGGCAGCAGUGGGGAAUAUUGGACAAUGGGCGAAAGCCUGAUCCAGCCAUGCCGCGUGUGUGAAGAAGGCCUUCGGAUUGUAAAGCACUUUAAGUUGGGAGGCGUUACCCACAGAAUAAGCACCGGCUAACUUCGUGCCAGCAGCCGCGGUAAUAC
rnacentral:rRNA from 1 species